rnacentral:rRNA from 1 species
UACGUAGGGGGCAAGCGUUGUCCGGAAUCAUUGGGCGUAAAGAGCGUGUAGGCGGCUUGGUAAGUCCGCUGUGAAAGUCCAGGGCUCAACCCUGGAAUGCCGGUGGAAACUGUCAAGCUUGAGUCCGGAAGAGGCGAGUGGAAUUCCUGGUGUAGCGGUGAAAUGCGCAGAUAUUAGGAGGAACACCAAUGGCGAAGGCAGCCCGCUGGGACGGUACUGACGCUGAGACGCGAAAGCGUGGGGAGCAAACAGG